CCUGGGUAUACCAUUUAUUGUUGAUUCUGUACACCAAAUUUGUUACAAGCAGCAUCUAGCAAAAGACAGACCCCUAACCCUGCCCACCAGGGUUCACACUCUAUAAAACCCUGGGGGCCUAGAAAUCGCUACAUGCACUGCCAAGCACCUGGGACUAUUUGCAGUGAUUCUCUUAGCAAGGCAAAGGUGAUCUAUUUUUGCAGGCAGCAUGAAAGCAAUGGGUGGUGAGAACCAUCUCUCCAUAGAAGAAGGAACCCAGGAUCGGGAGGAGUUCCACCUGGCAGCAGCCUGCCGCACACCCUCUCUCAGCCACAGUGGUGGCUUCCUUCACAAGACCGCCACAGCCUCCCCCAACAAACUGGGUUAGGUUCUGGCCACAGGAUCAGCCGUGGGCCAAAUUUGAGUAGCUUAUAGCUAAAGGGUGGGAUAUACCCCACCUCUGCCCCCACCUCCAGUCAUCUAGUGACUUGCUAGCUGUCUGCUCUCCAUACAUUUCCUGAGCUUGGGAGUAGAUUCCUGGAUCAGCUCUACCCUGACAUCUGAAGUAUGGGAAUCGUGUGGUUGCCCAUGAGAAGAUCUAGAACCUCUACAUUCUCAAGAGAAAGAACGCUAUCCACACAGACCAAUAAUUCUAAGGACAGGGGCCAGUUUUUCUUUCAUGGCUGAACAAGUUUCCUGUAUUUACAAAGUUGGGAUCCAUACAGUGCCAGGUGAGGUCCCAGUGACUUAAGAGUAUGAGGAGCACCAGGACGGGGACUCCCAUUUGCUUUGUUCUCAUGGUGAAAACCCUAGUCAGAGCAUGAGGUCUUGUGUAAAGGCUGAAGACAGAAGUAAACCCCCAGCCUACUGAGAACCUGUUGUGACGGUCUUCUGCCCUGUCCCAAGGGGGCACUGGGAGGGUUAAAGGGGAAUGUGUCCAGAGCUUUGGAGGACACUUGUGCACAGUAAGCACUUCUUAAAAUGGUCCUUUCCUCCAACAUUGAUUCCUUCCUUCCGUGUCACAUGAAGGCUGCUGGUGAACGGCAAGGUGGCCUAGAAACCAGUGCACAGAGGAGAAGUGAAGGGAAUUCUGUACCCUACCCAACAUUUCAGGGACCACUCAGCUCACUCCAGUCCCAAGAAUUGAGCAAAUACAUCAUUCAAUAGUGCCGUAUUGAAAAGGGCACUCCAUUCAGCUUUUGGGGCCACUCCUUGACCAAACAGCACAGUUCAGAGAGGCCAAAAGUCCUGACAAGGAACAACAGGGCUGAUGGCUCCAAACCAUUCUGAUGGGAGAAAGGAACAGGCAAGCUGGGAAGGGUCAUCUAACAGGCCCAUCCCCUUCACCUGGGAUCCACCUGGGUGGGUCGUCUGAAGACACCUGUUCUCAGACCAGUAUUUUGAGCCAGAAAGGAAGGUAUUCCAAUGUCAUGGCCAAUGUCAGAAACACCCAGGAGUUCUGGGUUAAGGCUGGUAGGGAGCAUGGAAUGCUGAGGGUUCCUACCUCUCUCUAUCCCUAGCCACUUGUUCCUAAGCACAAUGAAACACUGGAGCUCACUCACAAGAAGCACCUGAGUGUUCUGGGUCUGAGGAAUGUGAUACCAAACCAGGCUUCCUGUCUGGAGGAAAGCAGACCCACAUUCCCUUUCCAGCCCCUGGGCCCACGCGGCAGGCCACCGUCAAUCAUGCCUCAAGCUUGGGGCUCCCUUCCUUUUGGGUCCUGGUGAGCCUUACUUAAUACACAUGCACUCAUUCUGUUAAUAUUUUGAAAACAUUUGUAGACCCAGAUUUGCCUUGGGGAAAUAAUAUCUUUUGCCUGGAUAUCAGAUUCUCUGGGACAGUUAAAAGCUACGACAUGCACUAGACAUUCCUUCUGAGACAUUGUGUUGGGGGGCCUGGCCAUCCUGUCAUCAUGAUGCUGCUGAGGCUUCUUACUCAUCUUGUGAGGUAGAGGGACCUAAUAAAAGCCAAUCAGGAUUGGUGGUAGGUCUCAGGGAUCUACAUCCCUGAGAUCAACUGAAGUUCUUUCUUGGGCAGAUAUGGAGACCUGAAAUUCUUCAAUUUUACAGCUUUUAUUUCUGAACUGGUGGAUCAGAUGUCCAGAGAAAGACAUGUGUUGCCUUGAACAUAAUUUCUUUAACAUCUGUGAAUAUGUGUGUAGCAAGAAAGGCAUGAAAGCAGGAAUUCAACUAUAACUCAAGGAAGAGAAAACCCUGGAUCAAAUGACUU
rnacentral:lncRNA from 1 species